rnacentral:rRNA from 2 species
UGGGGAAUAUUGGACAAUGGGCGCAAGCCUGAUCCAGCCAUGCCGCGUGAGUGAUGAAGGCCCUAGGGUUGUAAAGCUCUUUCGCCAGGGACGAUAAUGACGGUACCUGGAUAAGAAGCCCCGGCUAACUUCGUGCCAGCAGCCGCGGUAAUACGAAGGGGGCUAGCGUUGUUCGGAAUCACUGGGCGUAAAGCGCACGUAGGCGGAUCUUUAAGUCAGGGGUGAAAUCCCGAGGCUCAACCUCGGAACUGCCUUUGAUACUGGAGGUCUCGAGUCCGGGAGAGGUGAGUGGAACUGCGAGUGUAGAGGUGAAAUUCGUAGAUAUUCGCAAGAACACCAGUGGCGAAGGCGGCUCACUGGCCCGGUACUGACGCUGAGGUGCGAAAGCGUGGGGAGCAAACA